CCUACGGGUGGCAGCAGUCGAGAAUCAUUCACAAUGGGGGAAACCCUGAUGGUGCGACGCCGCGUGGGGGAAUGAAGGUCUUCGGAUUGUAAACCCCUGUCAUGUGGGAGCAAAUUAAAAAGAUAGUACCACAAGAGGAAGAGACGGCUAACUCUGUGCCAGCAGCCGCGGGAAUACAGAGGUCUCAAGCGUUGUUCGGAAUCACUGGGCGUAAAGCGUGCGUAGGCGGUUUCGUAAGUCGUGUGUGAAAGGCGCGGGCUCAACCCGCGGACGGCACAUGAUAAUGCGAGACUAGAGUAAUGGAGGGGGAACCGGAAGUCUCGGUGUAGCAGUGAAAUGCGUAGAUAUCGAGAGGAACACUCGUGGCGAAGGCGGGUUCCUGGACAUUAACUGACGCUGAGGCACGAAGGCCAGGGGAGCGAAAGGGAUUAGAUACCCUUGUAGUC
rnacentral:rRNA from 1 species